rnacentral:ribozyme from 1 species
UCUCGUUCUUUCCCUAGAGAAUUCUCACCAUUUAAGUCAGAAGAAGAGGAAGAGGAAGAUUUGGAUGUGUUGUU